GAUGAACGCUGGCGGCGUGCUUAACACAUGCAAGUCGAACGGAAAGGGCUGGCUUCUGUGGGGAGCGCGAGUGGCGAACGGGUGAGUAACACGUGAGUAGGCUGACCUCGACUGGGGGAGAACUCUAGGAAACGGGGGCUAAUACCGGAUAGGGGCACCUGCGGCCUGGGGGGGGCUGGAAAGUGUCGGCGGUUGGGGAGGGGCACGCGGCUUCUAAGCUGGUUGGUGGGGUAGUGGCUUACCAAGGCAUUGACGGGUAGCCGGCCUGACAGGGUGACCGGCCACCUUGGGACUGAGGUACGGCCCAGCCUCCUACGGCAGGCAGCAGUGGGGAGUAUUGCACCGUGGGCGGCGGCCUGCUGCAGCAGCGCCGCGUGCUGGAUGACGGCCUUCGGGUUGUAGACCGCUUUCGCCUGUGACGAAGAGUGAGUGACGGUAAUGGGUAAAGAAGCACCGGCUAACUCCGUG
rnacentral:rRNA from 1 species